GCCUUCUGCACAGGCGCUGUGCUAAAGCUGAGGGAAUAGGCUCCCAUCGUGGCUUUUGUAAUGAGGCCAGCAGAGCACACACAAGAAGACCAGUAACUGCACUAGACAGUAAAGACCAGGGUGAACCUCUUUCUUAAUGUCCAAUGUCCUUUGUCUUAAGAGUUCGUGCAAUAUGU
rfam:Myotis brandtii contig302791, whole genome shotgun sequence.